ACAUCUAGUUCAAAAUGGCACUGUCCCCUCUGAAACAAGCUGAUAUUUACAGCUCUAGAGCGCGUAAUGGAUAUGUGCAGUCCAGGUUGGUGCCUGAAACUCAUCCCUGCUCUGCCUCUGGUGAGCAACAGUAGAAAAAGUCUACAACCCUUCUUUUCUACACCAUCUACAGAGGGAGUGUGUGCUGAUAAGAGGGACAUCAAGCCAAAACAACUGCUGGAGGUGUUCAAGAAUGUUUCUUAAGGUGAAGGCCCAUCUACUUCGUACUCCUCAGGCUCAGCAGACAGGUAAGGCUCUUCUGGAUGCAGAGCUCACGAGCUGAAUUUGGAAAUCUGAAGCAAAAUGAACAUUCGUCCGAUCUCUUGCUGCUUACUGGCUUUUGUACCAUUGGACUCAUCGCUUACCAAGAUUCUCUUUGGCUCAGUACUGCCUGAUUCAACCCUCUUAUGUUUAAUUUGAUUCUGCUUCAUUAGGAUUCUAUCCAUGGCAGAAACAGAUCUUGCAGAGAUGCCCAAGUGCAAAAUCGUACUAAAAAACUUGCUAAUUUUAUCAUAUGUUGCAAUUUUUACAGCCAAUGUUUUCAAACAAACACAAGUGAUGGCACGUACUUAGAUACCUCACAGCAGCAAAGAGUAUAUACCCAUAGCAUUACUAUUUCUAUGCAUUACUCCAAUGCAAAUUUCUUUAAUGGUUAUUUAAAAAAAUAAUAAUAAAUAGGAAUUUUAUUU
rnacentral:lncRNA from 7 species